ensembl:lncRNA LINC03007 long intergenic non-protein coding RNA 3007
GAUCCUGUCAUGGCUGGUGUGGUUGUGUCCACACGUGACCUGAACAUCCUUCCCACUCAGUACCAAAUACAGUCAAUUCUGUGGCUUGAUGGUGCGUGGACAUAACAUUCAGAUAUCGCCCAUGAUGAGGAAACAGAAGCUGGGAUAUGUGAGUAAACAUUUCCAAGGUCCUGCAGCUAAUCAAUGGUGAGCUUGCGAAGAAACCCAUAGCUUUCAAACUUUGAAACUGAUGCUCCUUAGAUUAACCAGGCUACCUCACUUACUAACUAAGUGAAAUCAUCAUGGAGGGCUCCUUGUCCACCUCUUUGCAAUGACCCUAAGGAUCUGAGACAUACCUACCUCUCGACAAAGACAAUAACAUCAUAUCUAGGAGGGGCAGUAGAUUGAUUCUUGAAUUAGGCUGCUUGAGCUAGUACUCUCGCUCUGCUGUUCACAUGCUAUGUGGCUUGGGGGCAAAUUACUGAAACUCUUUGUACUUCAGUUCCCUAAUCUGUGAAAAGAAAAAAAAAGUGUGGAUAAUACAUAUACCCAACUCAUAGGUUUUGUGAGAAUUAAAUGAAAUGGCAAGUGGUUUGCCUAAGGCCUGGAAAAAAUAAUUAUUCAAUAUAUCUAUACAUUUUCUCAUUUUAUUUGGAGCUUGCAUUAUGUUUAGUUAUUAAUUUCUUUAGCAGAAAGCCACCUAGAAAAAAGCAUGCAGGUUUCUUACGAGAGGAAAAAAUAAACGCUUGUGAGCACAAUUAGAUAUACGAAGGAAGACGUGGGUAACCCGGUCUGGGAGAGCAUUGGUAAGGUGGCUGAUCAUGCUUUCUUGUUUUUGUUUUUUCUCAAACAAAUUAGAGAUUCCAAAUUAAGGAGCAAGACUAGAACAAAGGUGAAAAUUGUGAAAAAUUUCUGUGAAGCCCAAUGCUCUAUAGUAACCAGUUAGCAAAAAGCUAUUCAGGAGAAAGGAACUAGACUAACGCAAUGUCUUUUUGCUAUAGCUAAUUCAAUCACUGUCAUUACCACCAGCAUAUUUUCAGAAAAGAGAAUAUUUAAAAGACUCAAUUCUGUUAAAAGUUGGGUACCAUAUAGUCUCAAAAGUGAGCUAUGAAAUCCUGUCCCAAGCCAGAAAAAACAAGUUCACCAUCUUGCGAGAGUAUUCUAAAAAAAAACUUUUUAAAACCUGUUUCUUACUAAUUAUUUGAUUUACGUCGAACAUUUUGAAUUUUCCAUUAUGUGAAGGGUCUAAAGUCUUUUGCCAAGGGCAAUGAAAAUGGUGGGAAGGGAAAAAAAAAACACAAAACACCCUUUGUAUAAAUUUCACCAAUUUCUGCACAAUUAGAAUACAUAUUAGUUUUCCUUGCAUCAAUAGAAAACAUGCUGAUGGAGGGAAUCCAUUCUGGAUAUGUCAAAAUAGGACCUUUCCCAAAUAACUCAGACCAUUUAAAAUUGCUCCUUAAAAUAGAAGCUUAUUUUUGCCCUUAAGAUUUUGCUGUUCAGGGGUGGAGCUCUUGACCAUGCUCCCUCUGCAACGCUGCAUUUCAGGGACAUUUUAUUUAUCAUUUUACCUUCAGUGGUGAUAGCAUCCCUUGCUAUUUGGGAGGUGGGGUGGGAUUAAUGAAAAUAAAGGUUAGCUCUUCCUGAUCUCUGUGGGGGCCAUGUUGUCUCAGUUUUGAUCAUUUCCCCCAAAUUAAGAUUUCUGCAUAACCCCCCCGUGUCUGUGUUUGGCUGGCAGUUUUAUGGCUGACCAAAUUGUGCACUGGCCGCUGUUCUGGUUGGCUGAAUGUUUAUACAGGCUGUUAAUCAGACUGGGGAGGGGGCUGUGGAUAUGGGGACUGUCUGUGAGCCGGAGCGGUCCUGUUUGCUGUCGUGUGCAAGGGCCUGCACUUUGUUACUACAAAUUACAUAAUGA